UGGGGAAUAUUGCACAAUGGAGGGAACUCUGAUGCAGCGACGCCGCGUGAGUGAUGAAGGAAUUCGUUUCGUAAAACUCUGUUCUAUGGGAAGAAAAGGACUGUACCAUAGGAGAAAGCUCCGGCUAAAUACGUGCCAGCAGCCGCGGUAAUACGUAUGGAGCGAGCGUUGUCCGGAAUUAUUGGGCGUAAAGGGUGCGCAGGCGGCUUUACAAGUUGGAUGUGAAAUAUUGUGGCUCAACCACAAACGUGCAUCCAAAACUGCAAAGCUUGAGUUAAGGAGAGGUAAGUGGAAUUCCUUGUGGAGCGGUGGGAAGCGGAGAUAUCAGGGGGGAUACCGGUGGCGAAGGCGACUUACUGGGCUUAAACUGACGCUCAGGCACGAAAGCGUGGGGAGCAAACAGG
rnacentral:rRNA from 1 species